GACAAACGCUGGCGGCGUGCCUAAGACAUGCAAGUCGAACGGGGAUUUGGUCCUAGUGGCGGACGGGUGAGAGCGCGUGGAGAACCUGCCCUGGGGUGGGGAGUAACACUCGGAAACGAGUGCUAAGACCGCAUACGAUCACUUACUGCAGGGUGAGUGAGGAAAGCAGUGAUGUGCCCUGGGAGGGCUCCGCGUCGGAUUAGCUGGUUGGUGGGGUAACGGCCUACCAAGGCNGCGAUCCGUAGCUGGUCUGAGAGGACGGCCAGCCACACUGGGACUGAGAC
rnacentral:rRNA from 1 species